rnacentral:tRNA from 2 species
GCCGGAAUAGCUCAGUUGGUAGAGCAGUGGACUGAAAAUCCUCGUGUCACCAGUUCAAAUCUGGUUUCUGGCAAUU